AUUGAACGCUGGCGGCAUGCUUUACACAUGCAAGUCGGACGGCAGCACAGAGAAGUUUGCCUCUUGGGUGGCGAGUGGCGCACGGGUGAGUCAUAUAUCGGAACGUACCUAGCAAUGGGGGAUAACUAAUCGAAAGAUUAGCAAAUACCGCAUAGUCUCUGAGGAGGAAAGCAGGGGACCUUCGGGCCUUCCGUCAUUACAGCCGCCGAUAUCUGAUUAGCUAGUUGGCGGGGUAUAGGCCUACCAAGUCGACGACCAGUAGCGGCUAUGAGCGGAUGAAGCGCCACACUGGGACGGAGACACGGCCCAGGCACCUGAGGAAGGCACAAGUGGGGAAUUUUGGACAAUGGAGGCAGGCCUGAUACCGAAAGCCCGCGCAGCUGAAAAAGACCUUCGCGUUGUAAAGGCGUUUUGUCAGGGAAGAAACGGCUGGUAAUGAAAAAAACAGCUAGUGACGGUACCUACAGACAAAGCACCGGCUAACUACGUG
rnacentral:rRNA from 1 species